UGGACCAUGNAUAAGUCUCCUGGAAUGGAGCGUCAUAGAGGGUGAGAAUCCCGUCUUUGGCAUGGAUACCCAGGGCUUCUGUGAUGCGCUCUCAAAGAGUCGAGUUGUUUGGRAAUGCAGCUCAAAAUGGGKGGKGAACUCCAUCUAAAGCUAAAUAUUGGCGAGAGACCGAUAGCGAACAAGUACCGUGAGGGAAAGAUGAAAAGCACUUUGGAAAGAGAGUGAAACAGUACGUGAAAUUGUUGAAAGGGAAACGCUUGAAGUCAGUCGCGUCAACUGAGACUCANCCUUGCCUUGGCUUGGUGUACUUCUUAGCUGAUGGGCCAGCAUCAAUUUUGAUCCUCAGAUAAUGGCAAGGGAAAUGUGGSACCUUUUUAGGUGUGUUAUAKUCCUCUGUCGGAUGUGAGGGUUGGGAUUGAGGA
rnacentral:rRNA from 2 species